rnacentral:lncRNA from 1 species
AAGAACUGAGAUGCUUCGCUGUGGAUUCGCGGACCCUCACCUCAGCCCUGGAACUGCCUUUGGCCAGUGAAACUCGAGAGGAGCCCCGUCCCGAGAAGCUCCAAGGAGAAGGAGGAGAGGGAAAUCCCCGCCUUGGGGAUCCAGGCUGCGGAAGUCACCUUCACCAGGCUUUGCUCUGGAGCUGUGAGGGGUCGCGGCCCGGGUAGCCCUAUUUCCCCAGCUCCCCGAUAGACAGAGAGGAUGAAAGAAGUCAUCUCACAUGAUGGGACUUUUCCCUGAGCCCCCUGGCUGACUGACUGCUCUGACUGAUCAAUCUCUGCCGCUGAGAUGUGCCGGUCCUGUGACCCCCAUCCUUCCAGUGCUUCACUUCUCUGGACUCUGAAGGCUCUCUGGCCACGGUGUUGAUGGGGACGUGUGGCUGGCAGUUUCUGGUUUUGCUUUCCCUCCCUCUCCUUUUUCUAAUAGCAGUCUGAAUAGCCAGUGCCUCUCACAGGAAGCUUUGGGGUUUGGCUCAGUCCACACUGUUCGUUUGAACACUUCAAUAUUUAACUUGCAGAAUGGUUAAUGAGUUAUGGGGACAAUCAGAAUCAGACUGUGAUCAUGGCGAUGGAAGACAACAAGGCCUUGAUCAUCCAGCCAAUUGUUGGACAGAAGCUGGAAAAGUUUUCUCCCCAAGACUUCUGGCAAUAAAGAUGGGAUGGUUGGGACUCUCCACUCUCAGGGGACUGCUGCUGAGAUCCCAGGACCUUUGACCAUGCCAGCGAAGCAUUCUUCACAGCAUCUCAGGGACUACACAGCAAGUCUUCACCAGCUCCUCCCUUUUCAAAGAGGAAUGAGAAGAGAAAGGGCUUUUAGCAAGUGUAUUUGGUUUUGUGCUUGUGGAAUUCAUUUGAAUUUCCUGAAGACAUCCUGGUGAAUGUGAGCCAAAGGAAUUGAAUAAUAAUCCAGAACUGGUGAGAUGAGCUCAAAUAAGACACUGUCGCUUGCUUUUUCUUCAAGUAUGUGUGCAUACUAAAAGUCAUCUGCUAAGAGAUACUAGAUGAAAAUUUAGGAACAUGAUGUGAUUGGCUGUAUUUUAAUCUACGUUAGUCUCUUUUGUCUAUAUCAUUAGAAAAAACACUUUACUGAGCUGUAAUUCCCUUACCAUAAAGUUCACUCUUUUAAA